rnacentral:rRNA from 1 species
UUGGAGGGCAAGUCUGGUGCCAGCAGCCGCGGUAAUUCCAGCUCCAAUAGCGUAUAUUAAAGUUGUUGCAGUUAAAAAGCUCGUAGUUGAAUUUCGGAAUCCAUCCGUCGGUCGGGCCUCACGGUCCGCACUGGUGUGAUGGAUUCCUACCUUCUGAAUAACCAGCAUGCCAUUAAUUUGGUGCGUUGGGGAAGCAGGACUGUUACCUUGAAAAAAUUAGAGUGCUUAAAGCAGGCUAGUGCCUGAAUACAUUAGCAUGGAAUAAUGAAAUAGGACGGCAUGGUUCUAUUUUGUUGGUUUCUAGGAUCACCGUAAUGAUUAAUAGGGAUAGUUGGGGGCAUUAGUAUUCAAUUGUCAGAGGUGAAAUUCUUGGAUUUAUUGAAGACUAACUUCUGCGAAAGCAUUUGCCAAGGAUGUUUUCAUUAAUCAAGAACGAAAGUUAGGGGAUCGAAGACGAUCAGAUACCGUCGUAGUCUUAACCAUAAACUAUGCCGACUAGGGAUCGGACGAUGUUAAUUUUUUAAUGACUCGUUCGGCGCCUUACGGGAAACCAAAGUGUUUGGGUUC